rnacentral:rRNA from 1 species
CUGGCUCAGGAUGAACGCUGGCGGCGUGCUUAACACAUGCAAGUCGAGCGGAAAUAUGCAAUCGGAGAGCUUCGGCAG